rnacentral:ncRNA from 1 species
AAAAAGUUUUAUUUUGGCUUAUUAAUUUAUUAUAAAUUUGUUUUAUAUGUAAAUUUUUGUGAGAAUUUAUUUUAUUCUAAAAGAAUUUAUUAUUAUUUUUAUUCGCAGUAAAUUAUAUUAAUUAUUAGAUAAUUCUAGAAUUAGUAAUAUUAUUAAGUAUUGGCUAAAUUUGUGCCAGCAGCUGCGGUUAUACAAAGAAUACAAGUGAAUUAUAUUAGAUAUAAGUUAAAUGAUUAUUUAUUUAAUAAAUAAUAAUUUUUUAGGUGAAAUUUUAAUUUAUUUUGAUUAAUAUAAUAAUAAUAAUUGAAGCUUAAAAAUUUUUGUAAUAAACUAGGAUUAGAUACCCUAUUAUAAUGAUUGUAAAUAAUAAAAUCUAGAGUAGUAUUAGUUAAGAUCUUGAAACUCAAAAAAUUUGGCGGUAUUUUAGUCUAUUUAGAGGAACCUGUAGUAUAAUCGAUAAUCCACGAUGGACCUCACUUAAUUUUGUUUUUCAGUUUGUAUACCGCUGUUAUUUGAAAAUUUUAUAAGAAUGUUAAUUUUCAUAGUUUUUAAUUAAAAAAUAAAUCAGGUCAAGGUGCAGCUUAUGAUUAAGUAUUUAUGGGUUACAAUAAAUUUAUUUAUAUGAAUUAAGGCAUGAAAAUUGUUUUUUGAAAGCGGAUUUAAUAGUAAAUUUUUAAAGAUUAAAGAAUUGAUUCUGGCUCUAAAAUAUGCACACAUCGCCCGUCGCUCUUGUUAUUAAUAUAAGAUAAGUCGUAACAUAGUAGAUGUACUGGAAAGUGUAUCUAGAAUGA